UGGGGAAUAUUGGACAAUGGGGGGAACCCUGAUCCAGCCAUGCCGCGUGUGUGAAGAAGGCCUUAUGGUUGUAAAGCACUUUAAGCGAGGAGGAGGGUACUGGUAUUAAUACUACCAGCUACUGGACGUUACUCGCAGAAUAAGCACCGGCUAACUCUGUGCCAGCAGCCGCGGUAAUACAGAGGGUGCGAGCGUUAAUCGGAUUUACUGGGCGUAAAGCGUGCGUAGGCGGCUAAUUGAGUCGGAUGUGAAAUCCCCGAGCUUAACGUGGGAAUUGCAUUCGAUACUGGUUAGCUAGAGUGUGGGAGAGGAUGGUAGAAUUCCAGGUGUAGCGGUGAAAUGCGUAGAGAUCUGGAGGAAUACCGAUGGCGAAGGCAGCCAUCUGGCCUAACACUGACGCUGAGGUACGAAAGCAUGGGGAGCAAACAGG
rnacentral:rRNA from 1 species